GACCGCUCCAGUGGCUUAGUGGUUAAAACGUCCGCUUCGAUUGCGGGAGCCGGUUUGAACCCCAGCUGAGUCA